GAUCCUUUGGAGCAAAACUAUCCUACUUGUUACUUGGUCAUCGCUGGUUCACUUUCUGCAGAAUAACCAAGUGAGUGUUGAAGUAAACCAGAACAUACAAGAUAAUUUCAUUGUAUUUUCUAAAACAUUUAUAUUUACGAUUAAGAGUAAUUUUAAUCCUAUCAUUCACUUGUAUGUGGAUUAGCAUCUCCUUUUACUUUUUUUUUUUACUUUCCAAACACAAACAAUAAUACAAAGUUUGAUAUAUUUUUGUAUAGAUUUGUUUGUACGUUUUUAUUAUUAUUAUUAUUUGAUUGCUUAAAAUAAAUCAAUUCCAAAUCCAAUCUUAAUCCUAAUCCAUAAUAUUCCUGAUUCCUGUGAGUUAAUGAUUCACCAAAAAAAAAAUCAGUUAGCAGCUGGAAAGCAGUCAAAUGUUCUUGAAGAUCAGGCCUGAAAACAAGAAAUCAAAAUAAAUGAUAGUAAAAACCAAUAAAAAAAAGUUGACUUUCCUAAAAGCUGUAAAAUUCUGAUUCCAAUUUGACCAAAUAUUUUAUGAAGCACAUGUCAAACAUUAUAGAUUUAUGUUGCAGUACCUUUAAUAACAUGGAUUGAAGUUUCACUAAUAAAAAUUUCACCUCCUUUUCAACAAGAGUUUAUUAAGUUAAUUUCAUUUCAGUGUGAAUUGUGUAAAAAAAAAAAAAAAAUAACUAAGGCUUGUAAUAAAUCUGACCAAGUCAAUUAGCAGGAUAAAAGAGAAAUAACAGAGAGAAUAGACGGGGCUUAUUAGAAUUCCACAGCUAUAUUAACACCCUCAGAGAGGAGACUUCUCUCCAGCUCUUACCUGGAUUAUGAGUUUGUGGUCACUAAGCAACGCGCUGGAGAGCAACUGAGAUUUCAGCUCAGCUGGAUACACCAGCAUACCCACACCGUGGGGAUCCUGGCAGACCCUCCAGCUGCCAAAUUGAUUUCUCCAGCUCUGCAUUGCUCAGCACACUUCAGACCACAUCGAGACUGCAAGAAAAAGGAGACCAGCAACGACAGCAAAUAAGUGAAAAUCUAAGAGGAGGGAUAAAAGAACAAGGUGAAAGGUAGGAGAAAGAGACGAGCUGUCAUCAUAGAUCACACGGGCGACCUUUCCAGUUGCAGAGGUGGAUGAGAGCUGUUGCUGAUUAAUCUGUCUGCAGCCGCUGGAUUUACACCAAACUGAUUCAACCUGCAAGUGGACAAGUCAUUGCUGGAUAGGUUUGCCCAGCUAAAAUGACUGACCUGCUGUUCAGUGAGCUGACUAAUGCAUAAAGAGGAAGUUUGUGGAAGAGGGAGUAAGUCACUAAUGUACUAUUCAAGUGUCAAGUCUUAACCUUCAAGUCUCAAGCACGUACCAAGUCGUUGUGGAAAAAAAAGUCACAGGUCAUCCAAAUAUGUAAAAGACAGAGGAAAAAGUCUGAUCAGCUUUGUGGUUAUUUUUUAAUUUUUUGGUUUUAUCACGUAUGAUUUAUAUAGGUGUUCUUCACCCAUUUAAAGUACUGACUCAUAAUAUUUAGUUUACUACAAUAUGACCUAGACCACUUUUCACUUUGAAAUCUGCAUUCCUGAUGACUUCAGUGGAUCAUAUAAUUCCAGUGCUUUCUGAUCUGAUCUUCACUGACUUCCUGCUGGCUUUAGAACACACCCACUCUGAUGAAAAUCCUGUUUUAGUGUUUUUAUAGCAGCACAUGUGCUUCUAUGUUUCUUGGAUUUUUUUUUUUUUUUGAGUAAUUGUGAAGACUAUGAAUAUGACAGGUAUUAAUGUCAUCUCUAUUAAAAAUUCCUGCAAUUAUGCAUGUGUUUAUAGCAUUAGACACCAGGAAGAAUAGUCUCUACAUUGGUAAAGACUUCUGGGGAACCUUAAAUGAACAAAUACUGUCAUUGAGAAUAUAAAUCCUGAAGCAGUUUGAAUAACUCUUGAACUGGAUGCAGAGUUGCUGUUCUUGUGUUGAUCAUUUGAUUGCUGUUGAUCUCUGCACAGUAUGCAUUGGA